GGACUACUGGGGUAUCUAAUCCUGUUUGAUCCCCACGCUUUCGUGCAUGAGCGUCUGUAUUAACUUCGUUGCCUGUCUUCACGAUCGGCGUUCUGUGACAUAUCUAAGCAUUUCACCGCUACACAUCACAUUCCGGCAACGUCAAUUAAACUCUAGUUCGGCAGUAUCAAAGGCAGUGUUGCAGUUAAGCUGCAAAAUUUCACCCCUGACUUACCGAUCCGCCUGCGCACCCUUUAAACCCAAUAAAUCCGGAUAACGCUUGCAUCCUCCGUAUUACCGCGGCUGCUGGCAC
rnacentral:rRNA from 1 species